rnacentral:rRNA from 1 species
GAUGAACGCUGGCGGCGUGCUUAAUACAUGCAAGUCGAGCGAGGACCACUUGGUGGCAACACCGGGUGGCUCCUAGCGGCGAACGGGUGAGUAACACGUGGGCAACCUGCCCCCGACUUU